rnacentral:rRNA from 1 species
UACGGAGGGUGCAAGCGUUAUCCGGAUUCACUGGGUUUAAAGGGUGCGUAGGUGGGUUGGUAAGUCAGUGGUGAAAUCUCCGUGCUUAACAUGGAAACUGCCAUUGAUACUACUGGUCUUGAAUUUUCUGGAGGUAAGCGGAAUAUGUCAUGUAGCGGUGAAAUGCUUAGAUAUGACAUAGAACACCAAUUGCGAAGGCAGCUUACUACAGGGAUAUUGACACUGAGGCACGAAAGCGUGGGGAGCGAACAGG